UGGCAACUCCACCAAUAUAUUUCGAAUUAACCAAAAAAUAUGCUGUGAAAACAUGACGUGUAGCGAUUUUAACACAACACAUGUAAAGAAAAAUGUAGAAAAUACGCAAAGCUUAAAAGAUGCACAGAAUAAGAGAUAUACUCUUGCAAUCUCCGUUCAAAAAGAACUCCUAUCAUCUCCACCCCAAUUGUGCUGACAAAAAAGACAACAAUCUCUACCGGAUUUUUGGGGAAUUUACUCUGAAAAAAACUUGAUUUCUUGCAAUAACGCCACAAAAGCAAUUUAGCUUAAGUUGCAAAUUAAUUUCGGACAAUUGUUCGUUAGCAGCGUGUGAAUGAAUGAGUCGCGAUUUACUUUUCGACAUGAAACCUCAACUUUAAACUGCCAGCAGCUGCCAAGUGCAACGAAAACUUAAUCAUCAUCCACAAAAUUAGCAAAUAAGCCAAUAAUUGUGAAUGAAAGUGGGGAGAAGAGAAGUGACAAUUGGCGAUAUUGCCACAAGGUAAACAUCAAAUAAAGGCGGAGUGACGUAGUCGCAAAAUUUUAAACCAGAAAACCCAAAAUAAAUAAACACUGUGACCAUCGGUGCUGGGCUCGAAAAAUGGAGCGUGACUCUGUAUCUGAAGGGGAAUUGUUAAAGUUGACUCUCCCAGGGAUGUUUUGUAACGAUUUGUGGAUCAAUUUACGCUAAUUGAUGGAGCAAACUGACGCAAAUGAGAUCUUGACAGAUCAGUGAACUAUGAAUAUGACACUAUUGUGAGUCAUGAAAUAUUAGAGGAGAUCUGUGGGCGAUCCAUCAAAUAUUUAUUAAGAGGGAUGCAAAUUGUGAGUCAGUAUUUUGGACAAUAAAAGGGGAUAUUCAAUUGGAAAGGCAAAUAGUAUAAUUUUUAAUUAGAUAAAUAUAUAUAAAGUGGGUUACUUGGGGGUGUAUUCCAUGAAGAGAAGAUAAAACUUGUAAAAAAUCAAGAAAAUAAGUGAUAAAAUUAUAUAAAGUUGGAUACUUCAGGAUGUAUUCCAUGAAUAUUAUUUAUAUUUCGUAGAAAAACAAGUGAAGUGAACAAAGUAGUAUUAAAUCUUUAAUAUUUAAAUUAUAAAAGAAAAUUAUAUGAUAAAUACUACAAACAGUGGAAAUUUUUUUGACUUUAUAAGUGAAAAAGAGAUAAUUCAGGUAAAAAAUCUCUAUAUAUAUUUAGAUAUAAAUGAAUAAAUAUAAUAAAAUUCUGGGAAAUCUACUAACCCCGCAAAACUAGUGUAAACUAUUAACGUCAUAAGCUUUAAGAUAGAAAUCUAGUUAGUAAAAGAGUAGUUAGUAAGAGUAUUAUAAAUAUUUAUAAUUUAACUAUAAAAUCCCCUGUCUGGUAAAUUUGCUCUUAAACUAACGUCAUUUUCUGAAUAAUAAUACUGAAUACCCACAAACAAUCGAUUGUUAUUAAACGUUCAACGUUUGUUUAUAUAAAUCAAACAAAAUGUGUUUUUAUUUAACCACAAAAACUAAUUGUUAUUGAGAUGCUUUCAAGUAACAAAUUCCUCAAUUUGCUAUCUCCGAUCUGCGAACCAAUUGAACACGCUUAAUUGUGGCAUAAACAGUGAAUGAAUAAACAACACCAAACACAAAAAACCGGCGACAAACAGUAAAUUACGAGCUGUGAUCACAAAUAACCAAACAAUGAUCACCUUCACAGGGCCAUUAACAUGAUCAAUCGCAAGGUAAACAAAGACCGAAAUACACGUUGGGUGUUGUUGAACUAUUCUCGUAACUAAUAGCAAAUAAAUUACCUGGUCUCUAGGUGUUUAUUUGCGUAAAACGAGUGAAUUUCCAGCGACAGGGGGAGAGAUAAAUCGAGACAGAGAGGAAGAGAGCGAGGGAAACCGGAGAAGCCCUUAUCAACAACUCGUGCUUGGGGCUUUUACACAGAUAAGAACCGGCACUGAUUGCCUGCCUAACCGAAAAAAUUAAACAACAAAUACAACUAGAGAGUGUAUUUUUUCCAAAAAUGAAUGGUUGAAUUUUCCAAAAAUAGUAUGUACCCCAAAAUCUGUUUGGGGUUCAACGAGUUCACCAUGGGUCGAGGUUCGACUCGUUUUUAAAAAUGCGGAAAUCCGUCAAGCCCAGCUGAGCAGCUUCAAACAAAACAGAAAAAAGAGAAAAAUUGUGUGUACAAAUUGAAACUGCAGACAUUUUUCGCAAUGACCAGGGUCUGACUGGCUUCGGGCCUUAAUGGAUGAAUGUUGGGGCUCGCAAGGUCAGCCAGUGUCUGUGGAUUUGCCGAUUUGAAUACAAUCGCCGAGAGGCGGGAAACGAGAAUCCGCUAAACACAAAAAAAUAAAAUAAACAACCUAACAUUUGCACCGAGAAAAAAAUACAAUAAUAACAGACUGAUAAUAAAAACACUUAUCAAUUUUUUAGCCAUGAAUUAAGGUUAAACUUAGGAAGCAAAUCAAAUUGAUUGUCGUGGGAAACUCAAUAGGAACUUCAAAAAUCUAGAAACUAAAAGUUACACAACAUAAGCAUUAAUUUUUCAAGUUUUUUAAAGCAUUUUUCUUUUAAGGAAGUCGGCUAUUUAUAGAAUUUAACGGAUCUCCAGAGCUGGGUUUUUGUUUUACUUAAAGGAAACCUCGAUUAAAGCCAAGUUAGUCACAGACUUGGGCUUGUAUGCCAAGGGCAGCGAAGUUGGAUUCAGAUACGGAUUCAGACCAAGUCACUCUCGGUUUUGCUUGGCAGCUCUUUCUUAAUUAUACACACAAAACAUGAUUUGGUUUUUUGGCCCGCCCUUUUGACUGACAAUUAUGGCCUGGCAAAAAAUAAAAAAAACUGAAAAAAACAGCGGCAAUGGCUUAGUCACUCUUUUUGACCGCAUUUUGACACAGAGACCAGAUCUCUGCGAUCAUCAUAAUAAAUAUUUAUGGCUUCAGCAACGAUGUUUGUCUUAAUGCUAAUGAAAGUUACCCAUAAAGAAAGUUAUAAACAAAUACAAAAGGGAGGAGGAGAUAUCGUAUCGAAUUGAAAGAACAAACUUUUGUAUAUAAAAUUUAGAUUGUAGUCAAGCAAGAAUCGAAAUGGGACUGAUUCUCCGGGAAUCAGUUAUUAUUUUAUUAUUCCCGCAAAAUCUGAGAGCGUGUGUGGUUCACUUCUCUCUUUGUUCAGUUCGAUUUCGUGUAUAUAAUUAAAUAUUCUGCGAUAAAGCUGACAAACGAGACAAUCAAGUGAUCUAUAUAUAAGGUUCUCGUGAUGGAAUCCCAAGCUCUGACUGCUGAUUAGAUUGAAAAGAUCAAUGGGAAAUGCCCUCGGCUGAAGCGGUACUUUUUUCUGACACUAAAAAACUUUCAUAAUAUAAAGUCUAACGUCUUUUUGUUACUUGAAUAAAUAUGUUAAAGUGACAUUUAAAUUAAGUAAAUUAACAUAAUAAAAUGCUAAUAUAAAUGCCAAUAGAAAUUAUCUUUUGCUAACAUUGAUGUCUUGGCAUCAUUAACUUUCGAUUAAUCAGUGUUUAAAAAUGCUUCUGGUGGUGUCGGUAUAAUUAAUUAAUAAUUAAAUGCAAAUUAUUAUAAAUAUACGUAACAUUUUAAUACUAUUUAUUACAGGGUUUUUCUUAGCUUUUGUUCAGUGUUUCUUCUUUAAAAA